AGCAGCCGCGGUAAUUCCAGCUCCAAUAGCGUAUAUUAAAGUUGUUGCAGUUAAAAAGCUCGUAGUUGAAUUUCGGGAUCAAUGUUUCGGUCAUGCCCUUGGUAUGUACUGAUAUUAUUGGUUUCUCACCUUCUAAAGAACCGUAAUGCCAUUAAUUUGGUGUCACGGGGAAUUAGGACUGUUACCUUGAAAAAAUUAGAGUGUUUAAAGCAGGCUCACGCUUGAAUACAUUAGCAUGGAAUAAUGAAAUAGGACAUCCGAUUCUAUUUUGUUGGUUUCUAGGAUCGAUGUAAUGAUUAAUAGGGAUAGUUGGGGGCAUUAGUAUUCAAUUGUCAGAGGUGAAAUUCUUGGAUUUAUUGAAGACUAACUACUGCGAAAGCAUUUGCCAAGGAUGUUUUCAUUAAUCAAGAACGAAAGUUAGGGGAUCGAAGACGAUCAGAUACCGUCGUAGUCUUAACCAUAAACUAUGCCGACUAGGGAUCGGAUGAUGUUAAUUUUUUAAUGACU
rnacentral:rRNA from 1 species